rnacentral:lncRNA from 1 species
CUCCACAGCCCCGAAGUCUCAGCUCAGGAAGGGUGAGUGCUGGGGGAUUAUCAGCUGGGGCUCGGCUCCCUCCCUUGCAGACAGCAAGCAGGUAAGGGCUUCAUUUUGCUGUUUUCUCCAUGGAGGGCUCUGGGAAAGGAUCCUGCAAGUUGGAACCUCCUAAGACUCCAGAACCAGGAGCGGCUCCCUCUCAUAUCUACUCCCCUCAAACCCUGUCAUUCCCGGGAAGCUCCCAGAGGCAGCUGAGGCCACGCCCCUGCUCCUGAGCGGCAGCAUCCAGACCCGGAAAGGACCUAGUUUCAGCCUGGCACCUCCCAAGCUGCAAGGAUCCUACCCCAGCCCAGCCCAGCUCUGAGAAACAGGACUUUGCUACAGCCCGCCUCAAAGCAUCUUGGUGGACUUCUCCCCAGCACGAGCUCUCUCUACUUCAGGGAUUGCAAACUGGCAUCCUCUUUUGCCAGUAUUGGGUUUUUAAGUUUUUUUUAAGUGAUCACCAGCAUUUAAAAAUCCUAUUUCACAUAAAA